CGCAGAUGAUGUCGGAGGCGGCUCCCAGUGGACUGGAGCGGACGGAGUGGUCGGAGGUCGUCGCGCUCGGCGAUGUGGUGUCCAGGUAGGCCACCGUCGCUGGGAUGGUCUGGAGCGGAGACUUGCCUGGUGUGGAAACGCUCAAGGAGAACAUUGCUGCGUAUUUCAACAUCCUGUAGGGUUUCCUUUUGGCCUGCCAUGGAAGCACGGUCGGUGCCGGUCCUACGCUUCACAAGUAUAUCACUAGUUCUGCAAAAGGCGUGGUGGAUGCCAGCUUCUCGUUGUUCAAGCUAGCUGUUUCUACCUAUGCGAAGUGCGGCUGGACGACCGAGGCUGCUAUUCUGCCUUGAUGUGCACACAAAGAGUUCCUGGACCUGACUUGAAGCAAGGAUACCUGCGGCUGCAAGCCAACAAUAUCUGAAGACAGGGUGACAGAGGAAGCCAUGUUGCCGUUUUGUUUGUUCCCAGCCUUGACUAUGGCUGUCCAGCGAGUCCGGCAUGUCGUCAUUUUCUUGUAAAGCAGUAUUGUAUCACACUUGUAGAGCUCGUUACACAUGUAGAUCUUGUAAAGUACUGUAUUACACAUGGUCAUAUGUAUUGGCAACGUGAUCUGGUUGCUCUUAUUUGAA